rnacentral:rRNA from 1 species
AAGAGAUCGGGAUAACACCUGGAAACAGAUGCUAAUACCGGAUAACAACAGAUGAUGCCUAUCAACUGUUUAAAAGAUGGUUCUGCUAUCACUCUUGGAUGGACCUGCGGUGCAUUAGCUAGUUGGUAGGGUAACGGCCUACCAAGGCGAUGAUGCAUAGCCGAGUUGAGANACUGAUCGGCCACAUUGGGACUGAGACACGGCCCAAACUCCUACGGGAGGCAGCAGCC